rnacentral:rRNA from 1 species
CCAAAAACAUCACCUCUAGCAUUACUAGUAUUAGAGGCACUGCCUGCCCAGUGACACGAGUUAAACGGCCGCGGUAUUCUGACCGUGCAAAGGUAGCAUAAUCAUUUGUUCUAUAAAUAAGGACUUGUAUGAAUGGCCACACGAGGGUUUUACUGUCUCUUACUUCCAAUCGGUGAAAUUGACCUUCCCGUGAAGAGGCGGGAAUAUAACAAUAAGACGAGAAGACCCUAUGGAGCUUUAAUUAACUAACCCAAUAGAAUCUAUUCAAUUAACCAACAUGGGACAAAGUAAUUCUACAGUGGGACAGCAAUUUAGGUUGGGGCGACCUCGGAGUAUAACACAACCCCCGAGUGAUAUAAAUCUAGACAUACCUGUCAAAACGAACUAUCAUAAAUUGAUCCAAAAAUUUUUGAUCAACGGAACAAGUUACCCUAGGGAUAACAGCGCAAUCCUAUUCAAGAGUUCAUAUCGACAAUAGGGUUUACGACCUCGAUGUUGGAUCAGGACA